UUGAGCAGUCUGUCUAGAAAUAGAACAACAACUGAAGUUGAUGGAAGAUACUGCAGAGUUUGGCAGGGAAAUAAUCCAACAGCAAAGCGGCUCUUUAAGCGCAUUUACCUAGAGGACUUACAGGGCUACAAAUUCAUGAGCACAUGUGAGCAGUAUACAAUGUACCUCAUACCAAAAAGGACCCGGAGGCAGUGACUGGUGUUCAAUAUUCUCAGAAGAAAAGGAAAAUGGCAGUGGAAGACUUGGACAAACAUUUUUAGCCUCUGUGUUAAGCCUGGCAGUCUGUGGCUGGUGACAUGUUUUAUUUUGGUAACUUCUUGUAAAAAAAAAGACCAGUUAUUUAUUUUGUGAAUUGUAUUUUGUGUUUGUUUUUUGUCUUAAUUUAUUUGUUGUUUUUUUUAAUUUAGGAAUUUGAAACUUGGAUAAUUGAAUUAAGUCCGUGUUCAACAGUACUGAGCAUAGUAUAAUAAAUAACAAAUUUACAACAGUUGUUAAUUUGUUAUGUAUUAUUAUUAACUAUGCUCAGUACUUGAAUACUGGCUGUCUGCAUGGGAAUUUGUUUUCUAGAAAGUUGGUUUCAGACUUAAAUAUUUGAAGUUAACCUUCGGAACUUUUCUAGAAUUGUACUGGAACACAUCAACUGGAACUGAACUUCUGUU